rnacentral:tRNA from 1 species
AUUUAUAUAGUUUAAAAUAAAACAAUAUAUUUUCAAUAUAUAAAUAUUUUUCUAAAAAAUUAUAAAUA